rnacentral:lncRNA from 1 species
UUGGGCUUAAAAGACAUUUACAACAGGGAAAUUAUCUUGUUGAUGGGUAUUUCUACUAUUAUAAGAUACAAUUCUCCCUAGCUUUGCUAAAUUAUGCCUUUGCGUAAUUUUUUACUAUGGACUUUCCAAUUCCUGCAGAUUGUUCAAGAAUCAAGUUCUAGCACUACUGGUAAUAUUUGCAUCAGACCAUUUGCACUGUGAAUGACCACCUAAGUUAACUGCAUAAACUACUAGCAAUAAUUAGAGUUAUAGUUUUAAUUGUAGUAUAAUUUUAAAGUAGUCACUAAUUAUAAUUAGUGUGCAAGCCAUUAGUUAGAACUCUACAUAAUAGGAAUAAAAUUACUAAAUUAUUAUUUGAGCUUAUUAUGUUUCCUGAACCAUUAGUAUCAUAGUAGUAACAUAUCAUAGCUAACUACAAAAGAAAUGUUCACCAGAACAAUCCAAAUGUACAAGUAACAUAUUAAACCAAUCUAAUACUUAAUGAGGGUGAACUAUGCCUCUGUUUUCAUCCUACUCCAGAAGUUCAGGCUAGGAUACUCUGUAUUUUUGAGGCAUGUGAUUCCCUUAUUUUCUGCAUGGGAACUCACCCUUCCAUCUCCCACACAUUCCAACCCCUACUGGUCCCAGCAAGCAUUGGAGACUCCCAUGUCAUUUAUUCCAAGACUCUCUUAUAGUGCCCUGCUCCUCCCCUACAGUAAUCCCACCUCCUCGCUGCAGCCAAUAGGGGUUUUCACCUCCUCCCAGGGGGCUGCAGAGGAGCAUGCUCAACAGAGACUAGAAACAUGGAGGAGUCAACUUUGCAGCUCCCAAGAUGACAAGUCAGGUCUGCUCCUACUGCUGUUGGACUUCAGAAAAGAAUACAGAGGCUGGAAUAUCCAGCAUGAUUACAGAGCAACAUGCAGGUGAGUAGGAACUGUAUAGAAUUAGAAAAAAUGAGUAACACAGCAUUCCAGCAGAACAGCUGAUACUACAGAGCUGUCAAGAUUAUUAAAAAAUUAUGUUGACAUUCUAAUGUCACGUUUUUUUCACAAUAUAAAAAAGUUUUUGUGCAAAAAUCAAGGAAAACCAACAAAAAUAUAUUAUUUAUCAGGAUUCAAGAGAAAAG